rnacentral:rRNA from 1 species
UACGUAGGGGGCGAGCGUUAUCCGGAUUUAUUGGGUGUAAAGCGUGUGUAGGCGGUUUCCUAAGUCCAAGGUUAAAUCCCGGAGCUUAACUCCGGUUCGCCUUGGAAACUGGGUCACUUGAGUAUGGUAGAGGCAAAUGGAAUUUCUUGUGUAGCGGUAAAAUGCGUAGAUAUUAGAAGGAACACCAGUGGCGAAGGCGAUUUGCUAGGCCAUCACUGACGCUGAAACACGAAAGCGUGGGGAGCAAAUA